UGAGGGAAAGGCGAAAAGAACCCCGGCGAGGGGAGUGAAAAAGAACCUGAAACCGUGUACGUACAAGCAGUGGGAGCACAGAGCAAUCUGUGUGACUGCGUACCUUUUGUAUAAUGGGUCAGCGACUUAUAUUCUGUAGCAAGGUUAACCGAAUAGGGGAGCCGAAGGGAAACCGAGUCUUAACUGGGCGUUAAGUUGCAGGGUAUAGACCCGAAACCCGGUGAUCUAGCCAUGGGCAGGUUGAAGGUUGGGUAACACUAACUGGAGGACCGAACCGACUAAUGUUGAAAAAUUAGCGGAUGACUUGUGGCUGGGGGUGAAAGGCCAAUCAAACCGGGAGAUAGCUGGUUCUCCCCGAAAGCUAUUUAGGUAGCGCCUCGUGAAUUCAUCUCCGGGGGUAGAGCACUGUUUCGGCAAGGGGGUCAUCCCGACUUACCAACCCGAUGCAAACUGCGAAUACCGGAGAAUGUUAUCACGGGAGACACACGGCGGGUGCUAACGUCCGUCGUGAAGAGGGAAACAACCCAGACCGCCAGCUAAGGUCCCAAAGUCAUGGUUAAGUGGGAAACGAUGUGGGAAGGCCCAGACAGCCAGGAUGUUGGCUUAGAAGCAGCCAUCAUUUAAAGAAAGCGUAAUAGCUCACUGGUCGAGUCGGCCUGCGCGGAAGAUGUAACGGGGCUAAACCAUGCACCGAAGCUGCGGCAGCGACGCUUAUGCGUUGUUGGGUAGGGGAGCGUUCUGUAAGCCUGUGAAGGUGUACUGUGAGGUAUGCUGGAGGUAUCAGAAGUGCGAAUGCUGACAUAAGUAACGAUAAAGCGGGUGAAAAGCCCGCUCGCCGGAAGACCAAGGGUUCCUGUCCAACGUUAAUCGGGGCAGGGUGAGUCGACCCCUAAGGCGAGGCCGAAAGGCGUAGUCGAUGGGAAACAGGUUAAUAUUCCUGUACUUGGUGUUACUGCGAAGGGGGGACGGAGAAGGCUAUGUUGGCCGGGCGACGGUUGUCCCGGUUUAAGCGUGUAGGCUGGUUUUCCAGGCAAAUCCGGAAAAUCAAGGCUGAGGCGUGAUGACGAGGCACUACGGUGCUGAAGCAACAAAUGCCCUGCUUCCAGGAAAAGCCUCUAAGCAUCAGGUAACAUCAAAUCGUACCCCAAACCGACACAGGUGGUCAGGUAGAGAAUACCAAGGCGCUUGAGAGAACUCGGGUGAAGGAACUAGGCAAAAUGGUGCCGUAACUUCGGGAGAAGGCACGCUGAUAUGUAGGUGAAGUCCCUCGCGGAUGGAGCUGAAAUCAGUCGAAGAUACCAGCUGGCUGCAACUGUUUAUUAAAAACACAGCACUGUGCAAACACGAAAGUGGACGUAUACGGUGUGACGCCUGCCCGGUGCCGGAAGGUUAAUUGAUGGGGUCAGCGCAAGCGAAGCUCUUGAUCGAAGCCCCGGUAAACGGCGGCCGUAACUAUAACGGUCCUAAGGUAGCGAAAUUCCUUGUCGGGUAAGUUCCGACCUGCACGAAUGGCGUAAUGAUGGCCAGGCUGUCUCCACCCGAGACUCAGUGAAAUUGAACUCGCUGUGAAGAUGCAGUGUACCCGCGGCAAGACGGAAAGACCCCGUGAACCUUUACUAUAGCUUGACACUGAACAUUGAGCCUUGAUGUGUAGGAUAGGUGGGAGGCUUUGAAGUGUGGACGCCAGUCUGCAUGGAGCCGACCUUGAAAUACCACCCUUUAAUGUUUGAUGUUCUAACGUUGACCCGUGAUCCGGGUUGCGGACAGUGUCUGGUGGGUAGUUUGACUGGGGCGGUCUCCUCCUAAAGAGUAACGGAGGAGCACGAAGGUUGGCUAAUCCUGGUCGGACAUCAGGAGGUUAGUGCAAUGGCAUAAGCCAGCUUGACUGCGAGCGUGACGGCGCGAGCAGGUGCGAAAGCAGGUCAUAGUGAUCCGGUGGUUCUGAAUGGAAGGGCCAUCGCUCAACGGAUAAAAGGUACUCCGGGGAUAACAGGCUGAUACCGCCCAAGAGUUCAUAUCGACGGCGGUGUUUGGCACCUCGAUGUCGGCUCAUCACAUCCUGGGGCUGAAGUAGGUCCCAAGGGUAUGGCUGUUCGCCAUUUAAAGUGGUACGCGAGCUGGGUUUAGAACGUCGUGAGACAGUUCGGUCCCUAUCUGCCGUGGGCGCUGGAGAACUGAGGGGGGCUGCUCCUAGUACGAGAGGACCGGAGUGGACGCAUCACUGGUGUUCGGGUUGUCAUGCCAAUGGCACUGCCCGGUAGCUAAAUGCGGAAGAGAUAAGUGCUGAAAGCAUCUAAGCACGAAACUUGCCCCGAGAUGAGUUCUCCCUGACUCCUUGAGAGUCCUGAAGGAACGUUGAAGACGACGACGUUGAUAGGCCGGGUGUGUAAGCGCAGCGAUGCGUUGAGCUAACCGGUACUAAUGAACCGUGAGG
rnacentral:rRNA from 1 species